rnacentral:rRNA from 1 species
GACGUAGGUGGCGAACGUUAUCCGGAAUUAUUGGGCGUAAAGGGUGCGUAGGUGGUCAAAUAAGUUAUCAGUGGCAAAUCGAGGCUCAACCUCGUGGAAACUGGUAAUACUGUCCGGCUUGAGUACAGGAGAGGUUAACGGAACUCUAUGUGGAGCGGUAAAAUGCACAGAUAUAUAGAAGAACAUCAAUAACGGCGAAGGCAGUUAACUAUUCUGUUACUGACACUGAGGCACGAAAGCGUGGGGAGCAAAACGG